CAUGUACUCCCUCCGUUCGGAAUUACUUGUCUCGGAAAUGGAUGUAUCUAGAACUAAAAUACAUCUAGAUACAUCCAUUUCUAUGACAAGUAAUUCCGAACAGAGGGAGUAGAUC
rnacentral:pre_miRNA from 1 species